AUGCCGCUGCUGCCGCGCCGGCCGCCGGCGGCGCUCUACGUCCCGGUGCGGGGUCUCCUCGAGGCCCGCGUGCCGUGGGGCCGGGACCGCGCGCUGGACCACGUCGUGGAGCGGGAGCGCCACCUCGUGCCCUUCCUCCUCACCAAGGACGCGCUCCUCACGGCCGCGCCGCCGCCGCACGCCGUGCCGCUCCACGCGCUGCCCUCCACCAUCCCCUUCCCCUUCCGCCCGCUCCGCUUCCUCCGCCUCUACGCCUCCGCCUUCGCGCUCUCGCCGCACCCCGUCACCGUCUCGCCCACGCACAGGCUCAGCGCGCUCCACCUCGACGAGGCGCAGGCCGUCGACGCCACCCGCGCCGACGCCGCCGACCGCCUGCUGCGCCUCCUCAUGCUCGCGCCCUCCCGCGCGCUCCCGCUCCACCUCGUCGCGCGCAUCCGCCUCGACCUCGGCCUCCCCUCCGACUUCCCCCGCUCGCUCCUCCCGCACUACCCGGACUACUUCGCGCUCUCCGCCGACGGCCGCCUCCUCGAGCUCGUCUGCUACCGGAAGGACCUCGCCGUGUCGGCCGUGCAGUCCUACGCGCAGCGGACCGGCGGGUACAAGAUCGGCGACCCCAUCGCCUUCCAGCUCUCGUUCCCCCGUGGAUUUGAGCUCGACAAGAACGUUCGCAAGUGGCUGGAUGAGUGGCAGAAGCUGCCAUACAUCUCGCCGUACGAAGAUGGUUCGCACCUGGCUCCGAGGAGCGACAUCACGGAGAAGAGGACUGUGGCGGUGCUGCACGAGGCGCUCAGCCUCACGGUGGGGAAGAAGAUGGAGAAGGAGGUUUUGGUCAAGCUUGGGGAGGCUCUUAGGCUACCGCCGGGGUUCAGGAAGGUGCUCGCGAGGCACCCAGGUAUCUUCUACCUGUCGCAUAAGCUGAGGACCCAAACGGUGGUGCUCCGGGAAGCCUACCGGAGGCAUAUGUUGGUGGACAAGCACCCAAUGAUGGGGAUAAGGUAUCAGUUCCUGCAUUUGAUGCAUAUGGGGAGGGAGGAGGCUGGUAAAGCAAAGGGCAAGGAGAGGAAGACAGUUCGUGGCGACCAAAUGAUGGGAGACGAGUAUGGUGCAGAUGGGGAGAACGAGGAUGAUUACGAUGAUGAGGAGGAUGAAGAAGAGGAUGAGGAGAACAUUGAAGCGGGUGUUGCUUCAGAGGACGAGGAGAGCGAUGACGAGGACACAGAGAACAGGGGAGAAACUGGAGAACCGCAGCAAGCCGCUAACUGA
rnacentral:rRNA from 1 species